rnacentral:rRNA from 1 species
AGUGAACGCUGGCGGCGUGCCUAAUACAUGCAAGUCGAACGGAAUUUAAGAGAGCUUGCUCUUUUAAAUUUAGUGGCGCACGGGUGAGUAAUAUAUAGCUAAUCUGCCCCUUGCUGGAGGACAACAGUUAGAAAUGACUGCUAAUACUUCAUACUCCUUUUUACCAUAAGAUAAAUCGGGAAAGAAUUUCGGCAAGGGAUGAGACUAUAUCGUAUCAGCUAGUCGGUGGGGUAACGGCCUACCGAGGCUAUGACGCGUAACUGGUCUGAGAGGAUGAUCAGUCACAUUGGAACUGAGACACGGUCCAAACUCCUACGGGAGGCAGCAGUAGGGAAUAUUGCGCAAUGGGGGAAACCCUGACGCAGCAACGCCGCGUGGAGGAUGACACUUUUCGGAGCGUAAACUCCUUUUGUUAGGGAAGAAUA